UGGUAGAUGCACCCUGACGAUCGCCCCUAGCUCCUCGUGGGCUAGGGGUUUUUUCU
rnacentral:sRNA from 1 species